UGGGGUCACGACCGGAAGUUUGAGAAAUCAAUGUUCAUUCCAUCAGGUCGGAGGCUACCCUAACAGAAUAUAAGAUGUUGUUCCUCCAACCUAAGUGUGGCCCAUUGGGUCAAAAGUGGGUAGGUAUGUGAUGAAUGUGGCAUGUGUUUUAUUUGUACUGAUACUGACCUCUGGCACAUUCCCCACUUCCUAUCAUUACCAACUCUAAUUCUUGUUGUCCUACUUCCUCCUUAAAACUUAACUUGCUCAUCCAAUUUUAAGAUAUUUUUAAUUCAUCUUCAUAUUCCUUUUCAGAUUUGAUAACAUUAUUUUUCCUCUGAAAAUGUGCCUGUGAAGCACUUUAGAACAUUUUCUUUUGUUAUAAGUGAUCUAUUACACAUGAAGUACACAUUGCUGUUGAACUAAAUAUUUCUAGUACAUAAUUAGCUGAUCUCUGCUCUGAUGAAAAGGAAAUGCUUGGCUCGAAAAUAAAUUGUAUGAAUUGCUCAAACUGCCAAGCCGCAAAAGAAAAAGUUGCAACAAUAUUUGGAAAUCAUUUGCGUUUCACAGCAGUUAUAAGGACACUACUUCACAACUUAAAACAAGUUAUUUUCGGUUAGUCACUGUGGUAAAUGUAUUAAUCGUUUCAAAAUGCUGAAGUUUGUUGUAUGCAGUGCAACAUGUGCAAAACAUUGCUCGGGAUAACUAAAAACCAAAAUUACAAAAUAAUUAGCCUUGGUGGUUGAGGCCAACCCUAGUCUAUAAAACACCAAUGUCAAGAGAAAAACAACUGGGAAGUAUUAACUUGGGCAUUAUCAUCCAUUCAGAUGACUCGUUUGAGAUUCAUCAUGAUUUGUUUCCUCAUAAUCUCAGGGUUCAUCUUUUCUGUGGGAAAUCAUUUUAAAAUGUCAGUAGAAUGAGGCUGGCUUUUGGACACUGACACCACCGCCCCCCCCCCCGUGAACUGGUGCUGCUAACGAGAGAGAGAUGAAGAACAGAGGGGGAGGGAGAGUCAUGCAACAUAGAUGGAAGAGAAAAACACACGUAACUCAGUAUUUUGUCAUCCUCACUGCUCAUUUACUUUUGCUCCAAGCCCUUUGCUUGCUUGUGUGGAUCUCGGCUGACACAGCAGAGUGAUGCCAGGUGCCUGCUGAGACAGGAAGGAGUGGCCAGUUUGAUGGACGUGGACAUGAUCAGUUGAUGGAUGGCUGAUACCCUGUCAGGGGAGAUAAAAGACAGGUCUGCUGAGACAUCGACAGACACGCCACGAGACACUGCAAGAGUGUUGUGCACCCACAGGAAGGUGGGGCUUGGAGGACCGAAUCAGGAUAUCGGUCACAAUGCUCACAGUGUGAUGGCAGGACCGGUGGGGGCUUGUGUGUGUGUCAACUCAUGCCAGAGUGACGAGUCCACCAUGGAAGAACGGUCUAGCUGAGAACGGAGGUGUCCUAACUGAAUGACCACAUCAGUACAACGGAACAAGAAGACAACGGAAGGUUUGCCUGCUGCAGCUGCUCCCAUCUCGCUCUCUCUCUCUCCAACGUCACGACAGCAACUACCUCAACCCAAACUGAACUGAACUGAACUCUGCAUUAUCUUAAGACUAUUCAUUUAUCCCUAGACUUUGGAAGAGUUUGUUUUUUGAUUCCUUUUACCACACUUCUGUAUACACACACACACACACACACACAUAUAUAUAUAUUUGCUAACCUGUAAUAUAUACACAUUUGCAUUUUAUUUUUGUACUGUAUUACUUAGUUUGCUAAUAAACUUUAUUAGUUACUAGUAA